rnacentral:rRNA from 1 species
UAAUACGUAGGUGGCAAGCGUUGUCCGGAUUUACUGGGCGUAAAGCGUAUGCAGGCGGAGGACUAAGUAGAGAGUGAAAGGUUGCGGCUCAACUGCGACACUGCUCUCUAUACUGGUGCUCUGGAGUGCCGGAGAGGAAGAUGGAACUACACGUGUAGCGGUGAAAUGCGUUGAGAUGUGUAGGAACACCAAUGGCGAAAGCAAUCUUCUGGACGGCAACUGACGCUGAGAUACGAAAGCCAAGGGAGCGAACAGGAUUAGAUACCCUGGUAGUCUUGGCCAUAAACGAUGUUCACUAGGUGUCGGGGGAUUCCUUCGGUGCCGCAGCUAACGCAUUAAGUGAACCGCCUGGGGACUACGGCCGCAAGGUUG